UAGUGAAAAGGGCAAAACGCAGGAAACUGCGUGACGCAAAGCCACAGGGCCUGAACCCUCAAGGGAUUCUCUUGAUGGAAGGCAGCCGGUUGCCACA
rnacentral:ncRNA from 1 species